GUCUGUGUGAAUGCAUAUGUGACAGGUGACAGAGUGUGUGAGGGAGAAGGUGACAGGUGGAAGAGUGUGGGAGGUUGUGACAGGUGGCAGAGUGAGGGGGUACCUGGUGGCAGAGUGAGGGAGGGAGGGGUUGAGUGGAGGCAGAGUGAGGGGGAGACACAGUGAGUGGGGGUGACUGGCGACAGAGUGAGGGACUAGUGACAGAG